rnacentral:RNase_P_RNA from 3 species
CCAGUCGGCCGGGCAGCCGCGGCGUUCCAAUGCCGAAAGGCGGGCGUCGAGGAAAGUCCGGGCUCCAGGGAGCAACGGUGCCGGAUAACGUCCGGCGGGGGCGACCCCAGGGAAAGUGCCACAGAAAGCAAACCGCCUUCGCAUUUGCUGCGCAAAUUGCUGAGGUAAGGGUGAAAGGGUGGGGUAAGAGCCCACCGCGUGGCCGGUAACGGUCAUGGCAGGGUAAACCCCACCGGGAGCAAGACCGAAUAGGGACGGCGCGGGCCUUGGCCCGGUGGCUCCGCACCAGUCGUCCGGGUGGGUUGCAUGAGGCGGUCAGCGAUGGCCGUCCCAGAUGAAUGGCUGCCGGGCCGCUUUGCGGCUCACAGAACCCGGCUUACAGGCCGACUGGCAAU